rnacentral:rRNA from 1 species
GUCCACGCUGUAAACGAUGCGCACUAGAUCGGGGUGGCUCUGACGCCGGCUCGGUCGAAGUAAAAACGCUAAGUGCGCCGCCUGGGGGAGUACGGUCGCAAGGCUAAAACUCAAAGGAAUUGACGGGGGCUCACACAAGCGGUGGAGCAUGUUGCUUAAUUCGAGGCAACGCGAAGAACCUUACCUGGGUUUGACAUGCACGGAUUAACCCCAUGAAAGUGGGGCCACACCCGCAAGGGUGGAACGUGCACAGGUGCUGCAUGGCUGUCGU